AUACUUUCACGAAUCACUCGGCCCCUCUGUUGAAGCCCAAUUCUUCAGUUAAUUGCCUCUCCAAACCAAACCCUUCCCAGCUCAGCCGUCGAGUUCCCAGUCGCCCCCACCGCCUUUUACCCUCGCUCGUUCGCACUCACGCUUCGGCCUCGCUCAGUCACUCGCAUUAACAAGUCAAUUGAGAGUCUUACCACAGUGCGUGAGUAUAUGUUGUGGCUAUGUUAAGGAGAUUUAGCAUUGCCAUAGAUUAACAUAAAGAUUAUCUAAACGGAUGUUAUCCCACUGUGUCAAAUCCCUCCGGCACUUUAAAAUCUUGAGAAAGUCUUCAGAAACUCCAUGGAACUUUCUGUUUCAUUCUUCUUAUGCGGACACACCCAUCAAGAAAUCAAAGCUUGCUCCUCUUCAGGAGAGGAGAAUGAUAGACAGGUUUAGCUUGUAUGCUAAAGGAGGUGAAGGUGGCAAUGGUUGCUCUAGUUUUCGCCGUAGCCGACAUGAGUCUCGUGGCAAACCUGAUGGUGGGAAUGGUGGAAGAGGCGGUGAUGUGAUAUUAGAAUGCUCCCCCACAGUUUGGGACUUUAGUGGUUUGCAACAUCACGUUAAUGCGAAUCGAGGAGGGCAUGGAUCCUCCAAGAAUAAGAUUGGAACCAGAGGAGCUGAUAAGGUUGUCCAAGUACCUGUUGGCACUGUAAUUCAUCUUGUAAAGGGUGAAAUUCCUUACGUUGUUGAAAAAGAAUCUUCAAGAGAGUUGGAUCCUUGGGAGAUUCCUGGCACACUUUCUAAAGAUGCAUCUCAAUCAGACCAGGGAAUUGCCCUUAGUGACCCAAGUAUGGCAGAGAACACUAGUUGUUCAUCUCAUUCUAAAAGAAGCAUCAAGGAAUUGCCAAAAGUGGAGCAGAGCACUCAUGUUGUAUCACCUAAAUUGAAUUCUAUUUCUGCUUCUGAAUCUUGCUCUGAAGAAGAGGAUGGGGAAGAACCAGAAAUGAAAUGUAAUGUCGCAGAACUAACAGAACAAGGUCAAAGAGUAAUUGUUGCAAGUGGAGGUGAGGGAGGUUUGGGUAAUGUGUCUACAUUCAGAGUUUCAAAGAAGCCUAAAACUAAAGAUCCUGUGCUCCAUGGGGAUAAAGUCACUGAAGUGGAAGCAUCUGAUGAGAGUUCGUCUCUCAACAUUGGCGCACCUGGUUCAGAGGCAGUUCUUGUAUUAGAACUCAAAAGCAUUGCUGAUGUGAGCCUUGUGGGGAUGCCAAAUGCUGGUAAAAGCACACUAUUGGGUGCCAUAUCAAGGGCAAAGCCUUCUGUAGGGCACUAUGCUUUCACUACUCUGAGACCAAAUUUAGGGAAUCUGAAUUAUGAUGACAUAUCAAUCAAAGUAGCUGAUAUUCCAGGACUCAUUAAGGGUGCCCAUGAAAACCGAGGACUUGGACAUGCAUUCCUUCGCCACAUAGAGCGCACUAGGGUCAUAGCUUAUGUGUUGGACUUGGCUGCUGGAUUGGAUGGAAGAAAAGGAAUUCCACCAUGGGAACAACUAAGAGACUUAGUUUUAGAGCUUGAGCACCAUCAAGAAGGCUUAUCUGAUCGACUUUGUUUAAUAGUGGCAAACAAAAUCGAUGAAGAAGGGACAAAUGGAGUAUUAGAAGAACUGAAAACAAGGGUGAAAGGUGCUCCUAUAUAUCCUGUUUGUGCUGUUUUGGAGGAAGGAAUCCCUGAACUCAAAGCAGGUCUUAAGCAGCUCGUGGAUGGUCAUAUGUCAUACAAACUCAAAAUAGAUGAUAUCAUAGGUGACUAGUUUGUCUGGAUAUGUCCUUGUUGCCAUUUGCAGGCAAGGUGUUUUGGGAUGUAGAAGUGAGGUUACGUAUAGUGUAUGUUAUAAUCGACGGAGAGUUGGCGAUCUCUCAAAGUAUUGCUGCUGAUUUGAGCCAUGUUGAACAUUGGGUUUUUCGGGACGCUUAUGGCGUUGCUAUGAGACCUCAGCAUGUUCAGAGAUACCGGGAGAAUGCCUAUAUUUACAAGAUUGCUUUUCUUCUCAAUUUGAACUCUCCAAUCAUUAAACCUUUGCUUAAGAUGAGAAGGAUUUCAAAGGAGAAAGAGCUUAAAACUUUGUUAGCAGUGGAACAAGAUCCUUGCUCAUGUUACAUGGAGAGGGCAACUAUCAAAGUAGACAGUGAUUAUGCUUUUGGGUAUGCUAAAGCACAAGUUGGAGUGCACAAGCUGGUAAGGAUCUCCCCAUUUGACAGUAGGGUUGAGCAUAAACUCCAAAAAACCGAAAAAAUCGACCUACCGAACAAUGUUGGAACUGAAACUGACAGAACCGAAAACUGAAAAAACCGCUAAUGGUUAAAACCGCCAUUGAAUAGUUGGUUUUUUUUAUAGAUAAUAAACUGACUGAAAAAAUCGAAACCGAUCGUUAUACAUAUAUAUUAAUUUAUUAAGUUUUUUUUUUUGCUUUAUAUAUUGUGGUUACUAAUGAUAUAUAAUAAUAAUAUAUUAUUAUUUUAUUAA